rnacentral:rRNA from 1 species
CCUACGGGUGGCAGCAGUGGGGGAUAUUGCACAAUGGGGGAAACCCUGAUGCAGCGACGCCGCGUGGGUGAAGAAGCGCCUCGGCGCGUAAAGCCCUGUCAGCAGGGAAGAAAAUGACGGUACCUGAAGAAGAAGCCCCUGCUAACUACGUGCCAGCAGCCGCGGUAAUACGUAGGGGGCAAGGGUUAUCCGGAUUUACUGGGAGUAAAGUGGGCGGAGACGGCGGUGCAAGCCAGGAGUGAAAGCCCGGGGCCCAACCCGGGGACUGCUCUUGGAACUGGGUGGCUGGAGUGCAGGAGGGGCAAGUGGAAUUCCAGGUGUAGCGGUGAAAUGCGUAGAUAUCAGGAGGAACACCGGUGGCGAAGGCGGCCUGCUGGACUACAACUGACGUUGAGGCGCGAAAGCGUGGGGAGCAAACAGGAUUAGAUACCCCAGUAGUC